UACGGGGGGAGCAAGCGUUGUUCGGAUUUACUGGGCGUAAAGGGCGCGUAGGCGGCCUCUGCAAGUCGACUGUGAAAUCCCCGGGCUCAACCCGGGAACUGCGUCCGAUACUGAAAGGCUUGAAUCCGGGAGAGGGAUGCGGAAUUCCAGGUGUAGCGGUGAAAUGCGUAGAUAUCUGGAGGAACACCGGUGGCGAAGGCGGCAUCCUGGACCGGCAUUGACGCUGAGGCGCGAAAGCCAGGGGAGCAAACGGG
rnacentral:rRNA from 1 species